rnacentral:rRNA from 1 species
GACAGGGCGGAAGCUGAUCCAUUUCAUGCCGCGUGUGUGAAGAACGCCUUUUGGUUGUAAAGCACUUUAAGCGAGGAGGAGGCUACCUGGAUUAAUACUCUGGGAUAGUGGACGUUACUCGCAGAAUAAGCACCGGCUAACUCUGUGCCAGCAGCCGCGGUAAUACAGAGGGUGCGAGCGUUAAUCGGAUUUACUGGGCGUAAAGCGUGCGUAGGCGGCUUUUUAAGUCGGAUGUGAAAUCCCCGAGCUUAACUUGGGAAUUGCAUUCGAUACUGGGAAGCUAGAGUAUGGGAGAGGAUGGUAGAAUUCCAGGUGUAGCGGUGAAAUGCGUAGAGAUCUGGAGGAAUACCGAUGGCGAAGGCAGCCAUCUGGCCUAAUACUGACGCUGAGGUACGAAAGCAUGGGGAGCAAACAGGAUUAGAUACCCUGGUAGUCCAUGCCGUAAACGAUGUCUACUAGCCGUUGGGGCCUUUGAGGCUUUAGUGGCGCAGCUAACGCGAUAAGUAGACCGCCUGGGGAGUACGGUCACAAGACUAAAACUCAAAUGAAUUGACGGGGGCCCGCACAAGCGGUGGAGCAUGUGGUUUAAUUCGAUGCAACGCGAAGAAACUUACCUGGCCUUGACAUACUAG